AUGGACUUCUCGGCCUUGAGUACCUUGGCAACCCUCAACCUCUCGGACAACCAUCUCGUUGGGAGCAUUCCUUCAAGCAUAGAGCAUAUUAGAGGGCUCCAUGCUCUACUUCUGCACAGUAAUCAGAUAAGAGGCUCAAUUCCACCUGCUUUAGCAAACCUCACAAAACUCACAACCUUGCGUCUUUCCAAUAAUGAGAUUGCAGGAUCAGUUCCUUGAGAAAUUGGGAAUUUAGGGAUGCUGAAAGGCCUCAAUCUUAGUGUAAACAAACUUGAAGAUUAUAUUCCAGCUAGUAUAGGAAACUUGACACAGCUAAGAAGUCUUCAUCUUCAUACUAACAAGUUCAUCGGACCCAUCCCUCGGGAAAUAAGGAAUUUGGUAAACCUGGAGGAUUUGCAACUCGUAUUGAACAAACUUAUAGGAUCCAUACCAGCAUACUUGGGAAAUCUGAGUAAACUCACGACCUUGUAUCUCUGGGGUAACGACUUGUCUGGCCACAUUCCUCAAGAACUAGGUCAUUUGAUCAAGUUAGAGAACUUUGUGCUUGCUGAGAACAAACACACAGGCCACAUCCCUCUACAACUAGGGAAUUUGACUAAGGCCACUUCCAUAGCUUUUAGUUUCAACCAACUUUUUGGACACAUUCCUCCAGAAAUUGGCAGGUUAACGAGUUUGGCAAACUUCCAAGGUUCUCAUAACAAUCUCUCUGGUAAAUUGCCAUCGGGUAUUUGUGGGAGAGGCCAGCUGGAGAAGUUCAGCGUCAAUGGCAACGACUUGGUUGGUCCCUUGCCUACAAGCUUGCUAAGCUACAGAAGCCUAGUGAGAUUUCGCCUUGAGGGAGAUAUCUCCGAGAUGGGAGUUCACCCGAAUCUUGUCUAUAUUGACAUCACUUCAAAUAGACUAUUUGGCCAAUUUUCUGAUGGCUGGGGAGAGUGCCGCAACCUUACCAUGUUGCGUGCCUCAAACAACAAUAUCACUGGAUUCAUACCGCCAGGCAUGGGGCAAUUAUCACUGUUGCGAAUACUUGAUGUUUCCUCAAAUAUACUUGAAGGACGAAUUCCAUCGAAAAUUGGUGAUCUAUCAGUAUUGUUCAAUCUGAGCCUUGGUAAUAACUUGCUUCAAGGAAGUAUUCCAAAAGUAACUGGAACAAUGAAAGAAUUGGAGUAUCUGGAUUUAUGAUCAAACAACUUGAGUGGGUCGAUACACGGGUCAAUUGAGCAUUGGUCCAAGUUUCGCACUCUAAAGUUAAGCCAUAAUCACCUCAAUGGCAGCAUUCCUAUUGAACUAGGGAUGUUGGUAAACCUACAAGAUUUGUUUGAUCUAAGUGACAAUUCAUUCGAAGGCAAGAUACUGAGUCAUCUAGGUAGCCUGAGCAUGCUCGAGAACUUGAAUCUUUCACACAAUGCAUUGAACGGCAGCAUUCCGUCAUCAUUUCAGAGCCUAGUCAGCCUCUUAUCCAUGGAUGUGUCAUACAACAAACUGGAAGGGCCGGUUCCACAAAGUGUGUUCUUUGAAGAUGCUCCAACUGAAUGGUUUUUGCACAAUAAUCAACUAUGUGGUGUAGUUAAAGGUUUGCCCUCUUGUGAAAUUACUCAAAGUCGUGGACAACAUAAGAAUUACAAAGUUGUUUUACUAGCUAUAAUUCCUGCCACUAUUGUUGUUGUGCUUAUUGUUAGAGUAGUAACAAUAUUGAGAUAUAAAAGGAAGAAAUAUAGCACAUGAAGUGGUAAUGGCUUGCAGCAAACAAAGUUGUUCGUCAUCUGGAACAUUGAUGGACAAGAUCUGUACAAGAAAAUUGUUGACGCCACAAAGAAUUUCGGUGAUAGUCACUGCAUUGGAACUGGAGAUAGUGGGUCGGUGUAUAGAGCUCAGUUACCUAGUGGUGAAAUAUUUGCGGUGAAGAAGAUCCAUCUGAUGGAAGAUGAUGAGUCAUUUGAUCAUGAAAUAGAUGCAUUGAUCCAUAUUUAGCAUCGAAACAUUGUGAAGUUAUUUGGCUACUGUUCUGCAACUCAGGGAAGAUUUCUGGUGUACGAAUACAUGGACAGAAGAAGCUUAGCAUAAUCUUUAAAGAAUAGGGAAACUAUAGCUGAUUUGGAUUGGAUAAGAAGGUUAAAUAUUAUCAAUGAUGUUUCUCAUGCUUUAUCUUAAAUGCAUCAUGAUUGCUUUGCACCGAUAGUCCAUAGAGACAUAUCAAGCAACAACAUUUUGCUUGAUCUGGAAUUCAGAGCAUGCAUCUCUGAUUUUGGUAUAGCCAAAGUACUAUAUGCGGAUGAUUCAAACUGCACAAGGCUUGCCGGGACAAAAGGGUAUCUUGCCCUAGGUAAAUUAUAUCCUUUUCUGUUAGAUCCGUGUGUUGUUAUGUUUUCUUUCUCUUCCGACCAAAUUUUAAAAUUUUAUAUUUAUUUUGCUGAGGAUGCCAAGAAGUAA
rnacentral:rRNA from 1 species